rnacentral:rRNA from 1 species
CCUACGGGUGGCAGCAGUGGGGAAUAUUGGACAAUGGGCGAAAGCCUGAUCCAGCCAUGCCGCGUGUGUGAAGAAGGCCUUCGGGUUGUAAAGCACUUUCAGUGGGGAAGAAAGCCUUGGGGCUAAUACCCUCGAGGAAGGACAUCACCCACAGAAGAAGCACCGGCUAACUCCGUGCCAGCAGCCGCGGUAAUACGGAGGGGUGCGAGCGUUAAUCGGAAUUACUGGGCGUAAAGCGCGCGUAGGCGGUCUGAUAAGCCGGUUGUGAAAGCCCCGGGCUCAACCUGGGAACGGCAUCCGGAACUGUCAGGCUAGAGUGCAGGAGAGGAAGGUAGAAUUCCCGGUGUAGCGGUGAAAUGCGUAGAGAUCGGGAGGAAUACCAGUGGCGAAGGCGGCCUUCUGGACUGACACUGACGCUGAGGUGCGAAAGCGUGGGUAGCAAACAGGAUUAGAUACCCCGGUAGUC